CACCUCUCAGGAUUGCACCUGGAGAGUUUCCAGUACUCUACCAGUCUCGACUAUGGGAGGGAGAGUCAAGCAGAGGCCUACCCAUUCCAUUCCUAGUUUAGGCAAUGGCUUGUGAGUGCAAGGCGAUCUGCUACGAGU